GCCUCCUUAGCUCAAUUGGUAGAGCGCGUGAUUUGUAAUCUCGAGGUUGUUGGUUCGAUCCCGACAGGAGGCU
rnacentral:tRNA from 1 species